AUGGCAUAUGAAGUUCCCAGGUUAGGGGUCAAAUUGGAGCUGUAACUGCCAGCCACAGCCACAGCAAUGGCAGAUCUGAUCUGUGUCUUUGAUCUACAUCACAGCUCAUGGCAAUAGCGGAUCUUUAACCCACUGAGCAAGGCUGGGGAUCAAACCCAUGUCCUCAUGGAUCCUACUCAGGUUCAUUACUGCUGAGCCACAAUGGGAACUCCUCCUCCUGCAGACAUUCUAUCCCUCCUUUUCUAGCCCCUCCAAAGCCUUUAAAAUACAGGAUUUUUUGAUAGGAUUCUCACUCUUGUCCUCAAUAUUCUGCUUAUUCAAUUAACCAAAUGAAUUAUAUGGCCUAUUUCAUCGUAUCCCCUUAUUUGAGCACUUCUGACUUGUCUGUAAUAUUAGACCCAGAAUUUCAGUGUCUACUCAUUAUGUCUCCUCUAUACCAUCUCAGACUCUCCCUAGGCUUCUCACUUUUCCUUAUACUCUCGUAUCUUUUACUGAUUCUGGUUCCAAGAUCUCCAAUUCCAUCUUCUGGUCUCUAAACAACUAUGUACCCAUUAUGUAAAGGACAACUCAAGUUUCAGUCUUCUUCUUUCUGCAUUAGCAGCCCUUGUUGAUUUUGCCCUUCUCUGAAUCUGUAUCAUUUAGAUUAUUUCUCUGUGUCUGGAAAACUAUUUAAACAAAAUACUUAUUAGUAAUACCCAGUACCUAAACAAAAGUAGUUUAUAAUCUGUAAGUUUUUAAGUAAAGCACCAGUUUUUCAUCAUUCCCAGGAAAAGAUUGGAUUUCAAUUUAUGCCCACUUUUAGAAAGAUAAAUUGAUAAAAUACUAAUGGAUUGUGAUCAGUGUAAUUCACAGCCUCAACUUAUUUAUAUGAAAUUGAAAUAUUGAGGUUUGAACUUCUUAAAUAAUCCAACAAACCCAUCUUUCUUAAGUUUCACGUUUCGUUUUCACAAUACAUUCUCAGCAGUUAUUUUUCUCAUUCAGCCCAAAUUGGAAUGGCAGCCAAAUGGCCAAAUAAGACAGGGAUUUUUGAGUAAUUAAAAAAAUUAGUAUUUCCCAGCCUGGAUUGUGAUCAAUGUAGUGAAUCAUCAGUGGCUGCCUACAUCGUAACCUUGGACCACCUCACAAUUCAUGGGCACUUGCAUCGUGAUCACCAACUUUAUUGUCAAUGCUUGAAAAUCAAUUAGACUCAAAAAAAGGUAUCUAGAUCUUUAAGAUUUUAUUAAUAUACUUAACAUUUAGAACUAUAACAUUUAUUGCGUUGAAAAUUUAAUAACAUUAUCAUCAUCAUGAUAAUCCGCUAAUAUUUACUGUUCAUUCACCAUAUUCCAGGCAUUGUUCUAAAUGCUUACUUUACUAUUUCAUGCACUCAUCAUAAUAGCCCUAUGACUUAGGUAUUGUUAUUAUUGUAUUUAUCAUCCCCAUUUUAAAGGUUAGGAUUCUGAAGUAGGAGGAUGUUAAGUAAAUUGCCUGAGGACACAUAGCAAAUAAUGGCAGAGUUGGGAUUCAAAAUCAGAUAGUUUAGUAUAUGGAUUGAAGAACCUUAAUAACUUUGGCAGAAUUCACAAUAAAUAUCCUUAGUCAUCAUUGGCUUAAAAUUCUAUUAUAUUAAUCAUUACUUAUCAUAGUCUUUAUCUCUUAAUACUCAUCUUUGCCUUUGUCUUACCUGGGAAAAAUUGGAGCCAGACAUUUAUCUUACAUAGUUUAUUGAGUUGCCCAAAUAGCCUAAACAUUUAUUUUUGCUGGGUAAUAAAGCUAUAAUUAAUGCUUAAAUUAGGUUCAUUAAAGCAGAGGAAAGUAAUAAUCAUUUUUAGAACUUUUAUUUUACUAAGGAUAAAUAAGAGUUAAAAUUUCUGAGACUAUACAAAUGUGGGCUGAAUUUUAUAACAUACCAAAAUUUAUUUCUUGGUUACUUCAUGCCCGUAUUAUUCUUUUUUUUUCAUUUUUUUAUUACUCAAAUGAAUUUAUCACAUCUGUAGUUGUAUAAUGAUCAUCACAAUCCAAUUUCACAGGAUUUCCAUCCCACAGCCCAGGAACAUCCCCCCACCCCCCAAACUGUCUCCUCUGGAGACCAUAAGUUUUUCAAUGUCUGUGAGUCAGCAUCUGUUCUGCAAAGAAAUUCAGUCUGUCCUUUUUUCAGAUUCCACAUGUCAGUGAAAGCAUUUGAUGCUGGUAUCUCAUUGUAUGGCUGACUUCACUUAGCAUGAUAGUUUCUGGGUCCAUCCAUGUUGCUAAAAAUACUGGUAUUUCGUUCUUUUUGAUGGCUGAGUAAUAUUCCAUUGUGUAUAUGUACCCCCUCUUUUUGAUCCACUCCUCUGUGGAUGGACAUUUAGGUUGUUUCCAUGUCUUGGCUAUUGCAAAUAGUGCUGCAAUGAACAUUGGAGUACAUGUGUCUUUGCGAGUGGUGGUUUUCUCUGGAUAGAUGCCCAGGAGUGGGAUUGCUGGAUCAAAUGGUAGUUCUAUGUUUAGUUUUUUGAGGAAUCUUCAUACUGUUUUCCGCAGUUUUUGCACCAAUUUACAUUCCCACCAACAGUGUACUAGGGUUCCUUUUUCUCCACACCCUCUCCAGCACUUAUUUUUUGUAGACUUUUGGAUGAUGGCCAUUCUGGCCAUGCCGGUAUUAUUCUCAUAGGUCAGUUAUAAGUCUCUGCUAACUGCCAUAAUCAGGUAAAGGAAUGCAAUUUAUACUGUAUACUAUGAAGCAGCCAUACAUUCAAAUUUGGCUCCAUUCUACAUCCUUGUAGGGAAUUGAAUAGAAUAUGAGCUAUUUAAGGUAAAUCACUUGGUAGUUUCAAUUUCUGAUCAGGAUUCAUUUGCUUAAAUUACACUGGAAUCUAGUAAAAAAUUAGAAGGUCGUAGGAUUUUGAUGACCUUCAAACAAAAACACAAAAAUGAUAGUUGAUGAACAUAGCACUACUUACUCAUGCUACUCUUUAUUUGUAAAGUUAAAAGCAAAAAUCAAAAAUGGUGAACUAAUUUUGCUAUCUUUUGUGAUCCUACUUGCCUUACUACCAUAAUACAUAUAUCAUCUGAUAUUUUUAAAAUUUAAAUGGCACUUCAAAUUUUCUGGAUAAACCUAGUUUAAAUGACAAAUGAAAAAAUAAGCAACCAUGAGCAAAUUUUUUGUGUGUGUGUGAAACAAUUAAGUGUCUCUAUCCUUAAAAAGAAAUUGGUUUGGAUUCCAAUUCUCCAUGACAAAUGGAACACACCCAUCUGCUGUUCCUCCCUCCUGAAUUCCACUGCAGUGAGCAUGAAUAUGCACCAAAGGAAACAAAUCCAUAAUAGAUAUAAGAAAAGGAAGAGGAGUUCCCGUCGUGGCACAGUGGUUAAUGAAUCCGACUAGGAACCAUGAGGUUGCGGGUUUGGUCCCUGGCCUUGCUCAGUGGAUUAAAGGAUCCAGCGUUGCUGUGAGCUGUGGUGUAGGUUGCAGACACGGCUCGGAUCCUGAGUUGCUGUGGCUGUGGUGUAGGCUGGCCGCUGCAGCUCCGAUUAGACCCCUAACCUGAGAACCUCCAUAUGCCGCGGGAGCAGCCCAAGAAAUGGCAAAAAGACAAAAAAAAAAAAAGAGAGAGAGAGAGAGAGAAGGAAGAGUAUGAUGUCAGUGGACUUUGGUGGCAUAAGGCAAAUAAGAGAGAUGUUUCUUUUAUGAGCAGAAAUGAAAACCAAUUUGUAUCCUGGAGUGACAAUAAAGAAUCAGCAGGUGUGAGGAGUAGGAUCAUGUUGUAGGACAGUGAUGAAUUAUUAUUUCAAAAACUGUAUACUGAACUGCAGUGUCCUGCAUGUAGUCUGUCACCUCCAUCCUUGUAGGUAUAGAGAGUGGGCAAAUGUGGCCAUAAAUAAAGUGUAAUUAACAGACAGACAGUUUAAAGAUGGUUGGACAGGGGUGGGAUCAAGAUGGCAGAGGAAUAAGAUGAGCCACUCACCUUUUCCCACAGACACCUCAAAAAAAACUACAUGUAGAACAAUUAGCACAGAACAUCUACUUAACAUGGCAGAAGACCUCCAAUCUCCAAAAAGGGUAAGAAAACCUCUGCAUAACUAGGUAGAACAAAAGGAAAAAAAUGAGAGAGAGAGAGAAAAGGAAUCAGGACAGGGUCAGCACUCCUGAGAGGGAGCUGUGAAAUAGGAAAGGAAGCUGCACCUGGGAAACCACCUAACUGAUGGGGAAAUCAGCUGAGAUGGAAGGACCACAAAGCCUCUGAGAAAAGUGCAGCAGCUGAACUGAGGAGGGCAAAGCAGAGAGAGAGCCUCACAAACCAUGAACUCCACAGCCAGAAAUGCUUGGACAGGGGCUGGGUGCUGAGACUCAGGCUCGAGUUCAGUUCCAGGGAGAGGACUAGGGUUUGUUAUGUGGAGACAGCCUGAGGGGUUAGGGAGUGGUGCACCUUGGGUUGGGGAGCAGAGCACGACAGCUGAGGGAGCAUAGGAGGAGGCCUGGGCCCACAGGAGAAGCAAGGCACCAUUGCUGGGGAGGAUGAGAGAAGGGAGAGACCUCCAAAGGAAUAUCUUUCUCUGCACAUGCUUGGGCUCUCAGUGGCAGGAGUUUCUUGUGCCAGGGUAGCCUCUUUCACAGGCUACAGGCAGUAGGGUGCCUCUCAUGUGGGAUACAGGUGGUGGGGAUAAACCUGAACAGGCACCACCUGCAGCUAGUCACCUCGAGGAUCAGCAUAGAGGAUGGCACUGCAACUGAGGGCCACCCAUUGUUGCUCUCACUCCCCUGAGAAUGCACACACCCUGCUGCUGCCACUGCCAAACUCUCCAGGUGCCACCUACACAUGCCUGAGGGUCACUACCACUUCCCACGGCCCUGCAACCAGGAGCAGCCUGCACCACCUUCCUGUGGGUCCUCACUGCUGUCAAGGGCCCAGCAAUGAGGCACUGGUGACAGCCCUGCCUAUUGCAUCCAUCUCCCUGGCAGCAUGUGCAGGCCAUACACCAGCACAAGGAGAGCAGCCUGCGUGUAAUGAGGGAAGAGUCAGUAAGCACUGAAACCAAAAGCAGCCCUCAUGCCAAAGGAAAAAAAAAAGUAAUCCCUCACAAAAUACCCAGGAACACUCUCACAUAUAAAUAGCCCUCCAAAACUACAGUAGUUGUUUUCCAUAAAUUAAAAAAAUAAGAAAAAUAAAAGCAAAAUGAAGAGGUUCAGGAACCAUUCCCAGUUAAAAGAACAGGAGAAUUCCCUUGAAGAAGCAAACGAUGAAACAGAUCUCUGCAGUCUGUCACCAAGUUCAAAAAGGAGACUGUGAAAAUACUGAAAGAAUUAAGGGCAAGUAUAAAGGAAUUAAGAGUAGAAAUGAACAGUAAUGCAGAUAGGAACUAGAAAAUAUGAGGAGGAGCCAAGAAAAAUUAGAAAAUUCAUUUGCAGAAAUCCGAACUGAAUUAAAGGCAUUGAAGAGCAGAAAGAAUGAUGCAGAGGAAUGAAUAAGUGACUUGGAAGAUAGAAUAAUGAAAAUCACCCAAUCAGGACAGCAGACAGAAAAUCAAAUGAAAAAAACUUGAAAGCUAUGUAAGAGACUAUGGGCUAACAUAAAGCAGGCCAAUCUACACAUAAUAGGGAUUCCAGAAGGAGAAGAAAAAGAAAAAGGGAUCAAAAAUAUAUUUGAAAAAAAAUUAUAGCUAAAAACUUUCCAAGUCUAAAGAAAACAGAUAUUGAGGUUCAAGAAGAACAGAGGGCCCCAAAGUAGUUGAAUCCAAACAGGCCCAUAUCAAGAAAGACAUAUUAUAAUAAAAAUGGCAAAAGUUAAAGAAAAGAUUCUAAAGGCAGCAAGAGCAAAACAAAGACAAUUAUAAUGGAAGCUAUCAGUUGAUUUCUCUACAGAAGCACUACAGGCCAUAAGAGAGUGGCAAGAUAUAUUCAAAGUUCUAAAAGGGAAAUUUUUUCAGCCUAGAAUACUCUACCCAGCAAGAAUAUCAUUUAAUGUAGGAGAAAUAAAGAAUUUCUCCAAGAAAUAAAAACUAAAAGAAUACAACAAUACUAAACUCAUUCUAAAAGAAAUACUGAAAGGUCUCUUGUAAAUAGGAAAGAAGUAAGAAGAUAUAGGACAGAGGAAAUCACAAUUGGAAAGUAAUCACUUAAAUAAGCCAGUAUACAGAUCUAAAAGGAAAAAUAUAAACUAUUUGUAAAAGCAACAAUAAACACAAGGAACAGCAAAAGGAUGAACAUGAAUACGUUAAAAACAGGACAUCAAAUAAUAAAAUGUGGGGAAUGAAAAUAAGAAAAUCUUGACACUUUUUUUUUUAAGAAUGUGUUUGAGCCUAUAUUUCUCUCAGGCUAAAGCAAGCAGACAUAGAAAGGGGUUAACAUACUUGAAAAACAGGACAACCACAAAUCAAAACCAAACAGUACAUUCACAAAAACUACAAAGAAGAAGACACAAGCACAAAAUAAAAGGAAAUCAUCCAAUUAAAAAAAAAAGGGAACAAAGGAGAAACAGAAUAAACUGGAAAACAAGGUUUAAAAUAGCAAUAAAUACAUAUUUAUCAAUAAUCACCAUAAAUGUCAGCGGACGAAUGCUCUAAUCAAAAGACAUAGAGUGGCAGGCUGGAUCAAAAAAGAAGAGGCUGCAAUACACUGCCUACAAGAAACUCACAUCAGGACAAAGGACACAUAUAGAUUGAGAGUGAGGGUAUGGGAAAGGUAUUUGAUGCCAGGGGACAAGACAGGAAAGCAGGAAUUGCAAUACUCAUAUCAGACAAAAUAGACUUUAAAACAAAGCUAUAAAGAAAGACAAAGAAGGACAUUAUUUAAUGAUAUAAGGAUUAAUUCAAGAAAAGGAUAUUAUGAUCAUUUAUAUAUAUAUAAAUGAUCCCUAAUAUAGGAUCCCUAAUAUAGGAUCACCCAAAUACCUAUAACAAAUACUAACAGUCAUAAAAGGAUAAAUUAAUGGGAAUACAGUAAUUGUAGGAAAUUUAAACUGUAUUCACAUCAAUGGACAGAUCCCCUAGAUAGAAAGUCAAUAAGGCAACAGAGAUCCUAAAUGACACAAUAAAAAAGUAGACUUAAUUGACAUUUUUGGGACAUUACAUCCAAAAAAAUCAGAAUGUAUCUUUUCAGGUGCACAUGGAACAUUCUCAAGGAUUGACCACAUACUGGGCACCAAACUAACCUCAACAAAUUUAAGACCA
rnacentral:lncRNA from 1 species